rnacentral:tRNA from 1 species
GGCCGUGUGCCCGAGUGGUUCAGGGACCCGCCUGCGCUGCAUCCGACAGCGAGCUCCGCUCGCGGAGAGUUACGCGGGUUCGAUCCCCGCCACGGCCU